CUUGUUGUGACCUUGAACUUGAAGAUGCAGAGAUGCUGAAUGAAAACUUGUCAGUACGACAGUAGCCUGUUGUUGAAAUGAUUUCAAUUUAUAUAUAUGAUUGACAUAUCCAUAGGACAUGCAGUUAGCCUAGACAAAUAGGAAGAGAAAGGUCUCUGAUUUAAUUCUCUGUGAAGUUCAAGGUCUUUCUUAGUCUAAAUAUGGGAAGAUUUGAAAGGAUACAUAGAAAUCUUGGAGGACAAAUUGACUCGAGUCUUAAAAGACACAGAUAUGAAGAUAAACAAGAGGAAAAGAAUGCCAAACAUAGUUUAAAGGACUGCAUACUUCCUGAUAUCUUUCAAAUUAUUGUGUCUUUUUGGUAUAAAUGUAAUAAUGCAAUAUCAUCUUAUUUGUAUAGGCAUGUAUACAUCCUGCAAAUCUUGUUGGUACCUUUUAGCUCCUUUUAAUGCAACCACUAUUUUUAAAACAUUGUCGUGAUUGUAUUUCUAUAUGUGAGUUUAUUAGUUAACUAGCGCGUGCCGCGUAGUAAUUGCAUAUAUAUGCAUUAUUAAAUACCAUACCUAUCAUCAAUCUUAGUCUUUUUAAUUAAGAAAUAAUUUUUAAAACAAGUUUUUUUAAUGGAAUUUUAUUUUCUAUGUUUAACCUGUUAUAUGCACUUAGUCAAAUAUAGCAUGUUGCAAAAGAGAUGCAAUAGAGAGCAAACAUUAUAUUUCAUGUUUACAUAAAAACCUUCUAAAUGUAUCAAAAUUCUGUGUUGUAAAAUCUUAAAGAUUUUGUUUUUCAGGAUUUUUCCCAAUAUGUUUAAGAAAUCUGUAGCAUAAUUUUUGCUUGUAGAUUUUAUUUCGGGAUUUUUCCUGAAAUGGGUAAAAAAAAACUAUGCACCAAGUGUGUGCCUGAUAAUAGAUUUAUAUUUUCGGGAUUUUUCCCGAAAUGUGAAAGAAAUUAUUAGUCAUGAGUUCUAGCAUUUACAUAGAUUUUCGGGAUAAAUCCCCAAAUAUUUGAAGACAUCUGUGUUAUACAUUUUGUACUUAGUUUAUUUUUGUCGGGAUUUUUCCCGAAAUGUGUUUCAGAUCUGUUUGUCAAAACGCUUUGCCAACAAAUUUUUAAUAUGUUAUAAAUAAUAAUGUUGAAAAUGAUUUCGGGACAUUUCCCGAAUAACAAGUGUCACAUACAUAUUUACCACUAAUAUUUUAAAACUUUCAU